rnacentral:pre_miRNA from 1 species
GAUUGAGAAAGAGCCGAUUGAGCGAGAGUCUACUGUAUAGUGAUAUAAAUAUAGUAGACUCUCACUCAAUCGGCUCUUUCUCAA